rnacentral:rRNA from 1 species
UAGGGAAUCUUCCGCAAUGGACGCAAGUCUGACGGAGCAACGCCGCGCGAGUGAAGAAGGAUUUCGGUUCGUAAAACUCUGUUGUUAGAGAAGAACAGCGCAUAGAGUAACUGUUAUGCGUGUGACGGUAUCUAACCAGAAAGUCACGGCUAACUACGUUCCAGCAGCCGCGGUAAUACGUAGGUGGCAAGCGUUGUCCGGAUUUAUUGGGCGUAAAGCGAGCGCAGGCGGUCAAUUAAGUCUGAUGUGAAAGCCCCCGGCUCAACCGGGGAGGGUCAUUGGAAACUGGUUGACUUGAGUGCAGAAUAGGAGAGUGGAAUUCCAUGUGUAGCGGUGAUAUGCGUAGAUAUAUGGAGAAACACCAGUGGCGAAGGCGACUCUCUGGUCUGUAACUGACGCAGAGGCUCGAAAGCGUGGGUAGCAAACAGG